GACGAACGCUGGCGGCGUGCCUAAUACAUGCAAGUCGAGCGCAGGAAACCGUCUGAACCCUUCGGGGGGACGACGGCGGAAUGAGCGGCGGACGGGUGAGUAACACGUAAAGAACCUGCCCAUAGGUCUGGGAUAACCACGAGAAAUCGGGGCUAAUACCGGAUGUGUCAUCGGACCGCAUGGUCCGCUGACGAAAGGCGCUUCGGCGUCGCCCAUGGCUGGCUUUGCGGUGCAUUAGCUAGUUGGUGGGGUAAUGGCCCACCAAGGCGACGAUGCAUAGCCGACCUGAGAGGGCGAUCGGCCACACUGGGACUGAGACACGGCCCAGACUCCUACGGGAGGCAGCAGUAGGGAAUCUUCCACAAUGGACGAAAGUCUGAUGGAGCAACGCCGCGUGAACGAUGAAGGCUUUCGGGUCGUAAAGUUCUGUUGUAAGGGAAGAACAAGUGCCGCAGGCAAUGGCGGCACCUUGACGGUACCUUGCGAGAAAGCCACGGCUAACUACGUGCCAGCCGCCGCCGUAAUAC
rnacentral:rRNA from 1 species